GGAUGUGAGGGCGAUCUGGCUGCGACAUCUGUCACCCCAUUGAUCGCCAGGGUUGAUUCGGCUGAUCUGGCUGGCUAGGCAGGUGUCCCCUUCCUCCCUCACCGCUCCAUGUGCGUCCCUCCCGAAGCUGCGCGCUCGGUCGAAGAGGACGGCCUUCCCCGAAUAGAGACGGACCGGUCUUCGGUCGAGGGUAUACGAGUAGCUGCGCUCCCCUGCUAGAACCUCCAAACAAGCUCUCAAGAAAAUAAAUGAAAUAAGUAGAGAAUGUUCCUUUAUUAAAAUUUUGUUUCAGGGGGCAAGGUGGUGUCACAUCUG
rnacentral:snRNA from 1 species